GAUGAACGCUGGCGGCGUGCCUAAUACAUGCAAGUCGAGCGAACAGACGAGAAGCUUUCUCCUCUGCCGUUAGCGGCUGACGGGUGAGUAACACGUGCAUCACCUUCCUAUAUUUCUUGGAUAACUUCGGGAAACCGCAUCUACUACCGGCUCAUAUAUUCUACCGCUUGGUUCAAUAGUUCAUCACGGCUUUGCUGUCACUUAUAGAUGAAUCCGCGCCGCAUUAGCUAGUUGGUAAGGUACCGGCUUACCAAGGCAACGAUGCGUAGCCGAUCUGAGAGGAUGAUCGGCCACACUGGAACUGAGACACGGUCCAGACUCCUACGGGAGGCAGCAGUAGGGAAUAUUCGACAAUGGGCGAAAGCUUGACGGAGCAACACCGCGUGAGUGAAGAAGGUCUUCGGGUCGUAAAGCUCUGUUGUUAGGGAAGAACAGAUGUGGAAGAAAACAUGGACGUCUUGACGGUACCUAAACAGAAAGCAACGGCUAACUACGUG
rnacentral:rRNA from 1 species